UACAAGGGGGGCAAGCGUUGUUCGGAAUUACUGGGCGUAAAGGGCUCGUAGGCGGCCAACUAAGUCAGACGUGAAAUCCCUCGGCUUAACCGGGGAACUGCGUCUGAUACUGGAUGGCUUGAGAUUGGGAGAGGGAUGCGGAAUUCCAGGUGUAGCGGUGAAAUGCGUAGAUAUCUGGAGGAACACCGGUGGCGAAGGCGGCAUCCUGGACCAACACUGACGCUGAGGAGCGAAAGCCAGGGGAGCAAACGGG
rnacentral:rRNA from 1 species